AACCCAUGGUGAAGGCACAUUCUCAACAGAUCCUUGUAUCUCUCCCAUGCAUCGUAGAGUGUUUCUAGAUUCAUCUGCAUAAAAGAGGAGAUAUCAUUACAUAAUUU
rnacentral:snoRNA from 1 species